UGGUCUCAUCUGCACCUCCUGGACUAAUGCAUGGAUCAAGACAUAUUAUCCAGCUAUUUGAGAGCCUGUCCUUGUUAAGUAUAAUAGUUUAAUAGACAAUGAAAUGAGAAUACCUAAAUGUAUAUUGAUGAAAAGGCUUAAUGUGGGGAUUUUUCAUGGGGCUAUAUUAAAGCCAAGGAGAGCACUCUGAGCUCUCCCUGAGUUGAUAAUUAACUAACUGGUUGUUCUCUGGUAGCGAACAUGUGAGUGUUGUAAUCUUAGAUCAUGCGAUGAAGGUAUUGAGUUGCAAAUCUUUUGUCUCAAGGCUCUGGGAAGUAAGGACAUGUAAAAGACCCUCUCUGAUUGAGAGAGAGAAAACAACUCCAAGCAAAAAAUGGAAUCAUGUCAUAUUUUGUAAGUUGCUGAGCCUGUGCUGGACAUUGUAUGGACAUUUUGGAUGUAUCAUUUGAUGUUUCUGUUUUAUUCUGAAGAGUUCUGCUAGUAAA